rnacentral:rRNA from 1 species
UACGUAGGGUGCGAGCGUUAAUCGGAAUUACUGGGCGUAAAGCGUGCGCAGGCGGUUUUGUAAGCCAGAUGUGAAAUCCCCGGGCUCAACCUGGGAAUGGCAUUUGGGACUGCAAGGCUGGAGUGCGGCAGAGGAGACUGGAAUUCCUGGUGUAGCAGUGAAAUGCGUAGAUAUCAGGAGGAAUACCGAUGGCGAAGGCAGGUCUCUGGGCCACUACUGACGCUGAGAAGCGAAAGCAUGGGGAGCGAACAGG